AAAGCGUUCAGAGAAAGGCUCAAGAAAAAACUUGAGCCUUUCUGCUUUUACUUAAUCAUAGUGAUUUUGAAUAAAAACUGAUGAAGAGAUUUUGUCUUGCUCAGCAUCUUAUUUUACCUCAAAAUCCUUUUUUUUUUUUUUUUUUUUUUUACACCUCAAACAAAGUCAAAUACAUUUUUGUUAUUUUAUUUCUCAUUUAUUUUAAUAUAUUGUGUAGGACCAGAUCCUAAACCCUGAUUGUAGCUCUUCAUAAUAAAGUGGCAAGACUGAUUCUACCAUUCCCACUCUGAAUGCCCAUGCCCAUGAACAGCACUGGGCAGUGGUGAGGGACAGAAAACUGCAGAGCCAAACUUGCUUUCCCUUUAUGCGACUGAGUCACGACCCAGCGUGCAUGGACCUCCACAGGACAAACAAAAUCCACAGGGAGAAGUCCAAACCAGCAGACAGCAUAUGUGUCAACACUCACAAGGCUGGUUCCUGACAAAAUACCUCCUUAAAUAAGUGACUUAACAAAACUCUCAAUUUUAUACAGAAAACAACGGGCAUAAAAUCUUGUAGAAUAGUCAGCGUAGUGAGAUCUACUGUGCAGUGCAGAGUGUGACUAACAGAGAUGUCUGCACAGACUGCGAGGAAACAAAGUAUAAAUAAAAUCGCUUGACUGAAAAAGAAAGACUUGAAAGCAAGAACUUUAUAUGGAGAAAGCCACUGUGAUUUCCUACUUUAUCUUAAUAUGCGAGCUUGUUAAAAAUGGAGAAGUUAAAUUAUAUCACUGACUCUCCUCCUAUUGGGACAGGAUUUUCCCCCUUCCCUAGUCUGAAUACAACCUUGCUGAAAAAGGCAGUUUUAUCUGCUUACAAUCGAUUAGCGUGCAUGCUGGACAUUUUAACUUAGAUAAGCUAACUCAAAUGUCUGACAGACCUGGCAAAAGAUAUGGCCAUCAGCAUACUCCCACAGAUGUUCCACUGUAAAAUGGACCAGAAACUAGAAGGUCUGUGAAGGAAGAUUUGUAAUUACAGAGGAGGGGAAGGAGAAAAAAAAAAGUAAAAUAUCAGUUUGUGAUUAUUACUGUAUGUUCCAAUCCCUCUAGAUGAAACUAAAGAGAAUGGAAGUCCCCUUACAAUCCAUUGUUUCCAAAUAAAUUUUCUGAACACUGAAGUAGAUCACAAAGGAAAUGCCCCAACAAACUACAGAAGAUGUUAAAAUCAUACGAUUUUCAGGAACACCUAAGUGUGUUUACAAAUUCCAUGCAUAUCCACUGGAUUUCUUCAAAACAGAAAGCCAUUGUGAUGCAACACAGAAAUUACUGGAGACCCAAGAAGCAGCAUGUGGAUGACAGCAGCAGUCCCAAAAGAAGUACACCACCUUAACAGCAGGCUUGAUGGUUGUUCACACAAGGAGUCUGGCCUGCAUAAUUGUAUCACUAAUAAGCAGUAAGGCAAUUAGUUGUCACAGCCUCUGUGACAGAUUUGUAGUAAGGAAGGUCUAAUAGAAGAAAUCAAGUUUUUUUGAGAAGAUCAGAGAUAAAACAGCCCAAAUCUUUGGCAAAGAAGACUGGAGUAAAAAUGUGCUUAUGAAGCUAAAGAUUUGACUGUGUGAGCAUAUCUGAAGGCAAAACUAUGUGUAUAGGAACCCUGAAAAUGGAUUUUUAGAAAUUAUUAUAAAUAUGUUUUUAAAGAGUGGAGCAUCAUCUCCCUGUCGUAUUUCCUCAAAGGAUUAAUUAUGUUUUGCCUA